GGGAGGAUCACUUGAGCCCAGGAAGUAGAGGCUGCAGUGAGCUUUAAUUUCGCCACUACACUCCAGCCUGGACAACAGAACGAAACCCCGUCUCAAAAAUAAAAUGAAAAAAUAAAAAAAAUAAAAUAGAAUUGCAUGUAGGCUGGGUGCAGUGGCUCACACCUGCAAUCCCAACUCUUUGGGAGGCUGAGGUGGGAGGAUCAUUUGAGCAAGGGAAUUUUAAAGCAGCCUGGGCUUUGUUGUGAGCAAGACCCCAUUUCUACAAAAAAUCAUAUUAGCUAAGUAUGGUGGCACAUGCCUGCCUGUAGUAGUCCCAGCUACUUGGGAGGCUGAGGCAGGAGAAUCGCUUGAGCCCAGGAGGUGGAGGUUGCAGUGAGCCAUGAUCAUGCCACUGCACUCCAGCCUGGCUGACAGAGUGAGACCCUGUUUCAAAAAAAAUAAAAUAAAAUAAAAAUAAAACAUUUUAAAAUAAAAUUGCAUAUAUGUAUUUUUAAAAGACUAGAGGCAAAUUCAUCAAAUGCUCUUGGUGGCCGAGCGAGCGUUUUCCCGUUGGGGGGUCCUGGCUGUGGGUCUGGGUGGCAGGUCCCCUGCAUUCUGGGCCCAGCUUCCCCUGCCUCGCCACGUGACUACAAAAAGCCCUUUUCCUCUGUGGGCCUGUUUCCUUAUGUGUAAAAUGAAAGCAUGGAACCAGAAGAUCUACGGCUCUUUCCAGCUCUGAGUUACACGAGGAUACUCGGGACUAAGGAUUUACACAGAGCUGCACUGGCAUGGCGGGGACUGCCCAUCCCGCUGCGGGCCUUGCCACUCACACCCUUAAUACGACCACAGCCCCUCUCCUGGCAGGCUCCACGGAGGGGAGGAAGCGGCCGCCUGCCACCUGCCCAGCUGUCAGGCUCUGAUCUCAAAUUAGAAUUAGGCCUCUCAUCUCUGCUCUGUUUUGAAUCUGAGAGGCCUCCCCCGCCCUUCAGCUGCAGCCUUGUGACCAGGAACAGAGCAUUCUCUGCGGCCUGGAGGUCUUCAUCAGGGAAGGGGGAAGCCACCCAGGCAGGCGGCUUGUAUUGAUUACAUGUGUCCCCGCCCCUACGCCCCGAAGCCAGACACUGUGCUUGUGAGUUGUUACCUAGGUGAUAUUCAUUCUCCGCUGCAUCCCUGGGCAGGAAGCGGGAUGCUCGCCUCUGUGGCAGGCGGAGGAGAGAUGAAGGGCUUGCUCCCAGGCCGGAAUGUGAAGGAGAGACCAUGGCUCCCUGCAGCCUCCACCUCCCAGGCUCAAGCCAUCCUCCUGUCUCAGCCUCCAGAGCAACUAGGACUACAGGUGCACCACCCUGCCCAACUGAUUUGUUUAAUUUUAAUUUUUUUGUAGAGAGGGGGUUUUCAUCAUGUUGCCCAGGCCAGUCUUGAACUCCUGGCCUCAAGCAAUCCUUCCACUUUGACCUCCCAAAGUGCUGGAAUUACAGGCCUAGGCCAUUGUGCCUGGUCCUAGAGACAGGAGAUUUUUGUUUUGUUUUGUUUUGUUUUGUUUUGUUUUUGAUGGUGUCUUGCUCUGUCGCCCAGGCUGGAGUGCAG
rnacentral:lncRNA from 1 species